CCUACGGGAGGCAGCAGUGAGGAAUAUUGGUCAAUGGACGAGAGUCUGAACCAGCCAAGUAGCGUGAAGGAUGACUGCCCUAUGGGUUGUAAACUUCUUUUAUAUGGGAAUAAAAUGUUCCACGUGUGGGAUUUUGUAUGUACCAUAUGAAUAAGGAUCGGCUAACUCCGUGCCAGCAGCCGCGGUAAUACGGAGGAUCCGAGCGUUAUCCGGAUUUAUUGGGUUUAAAGGGAGCGUAGGUGGAUUGUUAAGUCAGUUGUGAAAGUUUGCGGCUCAACCGUAAAAUUGCAGUUGAAACUGGGAGUCUUGAGUACAGUAGAGGUGGGCGGAAUUCGUGGUGUAGCGGUGAAAUGCUUAGAUAUCACGAAGAACUCCGAUUGCGAAGGCAGCUCACUGGACUGUAACUGACACUGAGGCUCGAAAGUGUGGGUAUCAAACAGGAUUAGAUACCCCUGUAGUC
rnacentral:rRNA from 1 species